rnacentral:lncRNA from 1 species
AUACCAUCUUAAAGGAUUCAGUAUUCCAUUGUGUAUUAUUAAAAUUAUCAUUAUGAGUCAUUUUUGACUUAUGAUGGAGUUAUUAAAACAUAAAGUUAAGGUAAAUCAAUUAAGCAUCGUAAGUCAAAGACUAUCUGUAUUGUGGUAUGUAUUAGGAUGCAAAAAUUAAACAAUAUGAAUCUUUUAUUUAAUUGACUGCACCACAGUUACUAUUUUUUUAUAUUAACAGAUUUAUUAUGAUAUGCAGGUAGUCCUUGAUUUAUGACGGAAUUCAGUUCCAAGAAUUUUGAAUCCUGCCAUCAUAAGUCAAAAACAGUCAGAAGUUGGAAAUACCCAAAAUUUAUGGAUUGCUCACUAUCAAUAUUUUAUUAUUACAUUCCACUUUAUCAUAAUAAAUUUAAGAAAACCACAAAAAUACAAGAACCACAUAAAAAAAGAAUGGUUUCCUAUAUUAGACCAUUAGAUCAAGAAUCAGACCCAGUUCAAUUACAUUGACCAAUAAUAGAAUUUAUCAUUAACAUCACUGUUAUAAAUCAAGGAUUACCU